UUGAACCAAGGACAGCACUCCUUCUUCACCUUACUUCAAGAGUUCUAGUCACUAAAACUUGACUAGCUUCAUACCGAUUAGGUUUCUCUAAGAAACUGACUUCAUCCUCUCAGAACCUCCUUUGAACUUCUGAUCUUUUUUCUUUAGGACCCUCAUAACCCUUGUUAGGACCAGAUAAGGCUUUGUCUUAAAUCCCAAAGCCUUAUCCUAAAAUUAAGAUAGGUUGUAAGAAAGAAAAGAGAGCAACAGAGAUAAAAUUGAAAACUCUUUCUGAAUACCUCAGACAUCCAGUGCCCCAGCCAAAUUGAGCUAGCAAAUGAGCAAGGCAUG
rnacentral:lncRNA from 1 species